rnacentral:rRNA from 1 species
UGUCUUUUUGAAAAUAAUAUAAAGUCUAAUCUGCCCACUGAUUUAUAAUUGAAGGGCUGCAGUAUUUUGACUGUACAAAGGUAGCAUAAUCAUUAGUCAUUUAAUUGAUGACUUGUAUGAAGGAUUGGAUGAGAUAUAAACUGUCUCUUAUUUAUAGUAUAGAAUUUAAUUUUUUAUUUAAAAAGUUAAAAUAUAUUAAAAAGACGAGAAGACCCUAUAGAGUUUUAUAGUUAAAUUUAAUUAGGAUUAUUUGUAUUAUUAAAAUUAAAAUUAAUUUAAUUAUUAUAUUGGGGUGAUAGAAAAAUAUGAAAAACUUUUU